rnacentral:rRNA from 1 species
UACAGAGGGGGCAAGCGUUGUUCGGAAUUACUGGGCGUAAAGGGCGCGUAGGCGGCCUGCUAAGUCGAACGUGAAAUCCCUGGGCUCAACCCAGGAACUGCGUCCGAUACUGGUUGGCUUGAAUCCGGGAGAGGGAUGUGGAAUUCCAGGUGUAGCGGUGAAAUGCGUAGAUAUCUGGAGGAACACCGGUGGCGAAGGCGGCAUCCUGGACCGGUAUUGACGCUGAGGCGCGAAAGCUAGGGUAGCAAACGGG